GAUGAACGCUGACAGAAUGCUUAACACAUGCAAGUCAACUUGAACUUCGGUUUGGGUGGCGGACGGGUGAGUAACGCGUAAAGAACUUGCCUCACAGUUAGGAACAACAUUUGGAAACGAAUGCUAAUACCUGAUAUUAUGAUUUUAGGGCAUCCUAGAAUUAUGAAAGCUAUAUGCGCUGUGAGAGAGCUUUGCGUCCCAUUAGCUAGUUGGAGAGGUAACGGCUCACCAAGGCGAUGAUGGGUAGCCGGCCUGAGAGGGUGAACGGCCACAAGGGGACUGAGACACGGCCCUUACUCCUACGGGAGGCAGCAGUGGGGAAUAUUGGACAAUGGACCAAGAGUCUGAUCCAGCAAUUCUGUGUGCACGAUGAAGUUUUUCGGAAUGUAAAGUGCUUUCAGUUGGGAAGAAAAAAAUGACGGUACCAACAGAAGAAGUGACGGCUAAAUACGUGCCAGCAGCCGCGGUAAUACGUAUGUCACAAGCGUUAUCCGGAUUUAUUGGGCGUAAAGCGCGUCUAGGUGGUUAUGUAAGUCUGAUGUGAAAAUGCAGGGCUCAACUCUGUAUUGCGUUGGAAACUGUGUAACUAGAGUACUGGAGAGGUAAGCGGAACUACAAGUGUAGAGGUGAAAUUCGUAGAUAUUUGUAGGAAUGCCGAUGGGGAAGCCAGCUUACUGGACAGAUACUGACGCUAAAGCGCGAAAGCGUGGGUAGCAAACAGG
rnacentral:rRNA from 1 species